GUAGGUGAACCUGCGGAAGGAUCAUUACCGAGUUCAUGCCCUCACGGGUAGACCUCCCACCCUUUGUAUACCUUACCUUUUGUUGCUUUGGCGGGCCGCCUAGCUACUGGCUUCGGCUGGUAAGUGCCCGCCAGAGGACCCAAACCCAAACCCAUUUAUAGUGUCGUCUGAGAAAAAAGUUUAAUAUUUUAAAACUUUCAACAACGGAUCUCUUGGCUCUG
rnacentral:misc_RNA from 1 species